CUCCCUCUCUACAUGUUAUCUCUCACGCCUCUUCAAAAUGUGUCAGAGAGCCUGAUCUCUGCUAUCAUCGGUGGAAGCAGAAGAAAUAGAAGCGGCAACGGAAGCCAUUAUUCCUACCUUUCCCUUUCUUCAUUCUUCACUAACCGAUGGCCACAACCAUUGCCGAUCACCUAUGAUCAUCCGAUACUCCUCCAAUCGCAAAAAAAAAAACUAUAAAAUCCUCUCUCUCUCUCUCUCUCGACGCCGCUCACCAAUGAAGAGGAAGAUCAGAAGACAACAAAAACCCAUCUCUUCUUGUGACGACUACCGCUAUCGCCAGAGACCCAAACCCCGAACCCGAACCCCGUAUUUCCUAUCCUCCUCCCUCUUCCCUCAUCCCCCUUCAUCACUUCAGUCCUCUGAUCCUCCUUCCCUUCGAACUGGCAAGCAUCGACACCCACCCUCGCAAGAUAAGAUUAAAGCCUCUCCCCUUCUCUCUCUAUUUUUGUUUUUGUGGUUGUGUCUAUUUUAAUAUUUACAAUUAAUUAAACCCAUUGAAUAAGAAAUUAGUUUAUUAGUACAUUAAUUAUUUAAUUUUUCAAUAAAAAGAAACGUAAUGUGGUUAUGGAGUUUCUGAUUGAAGGAUAGAAGAGAUAUGUAGUAAUUGACUAAUUGUUAGUCUAAAGUGGAAACAGAGGAAUGGACUUGAUAGCCACGGACAUGGAAAAGAACGUGAUUAUACCGUACUAAGUCAGAUUUGAUCAAUGCACUGUAAGCAAAACUGGAGUACAAACCGGUCUUAUUUUCUUGCUUUCUGUAAAUUACAUUUUUUGAGAAAUUGUGUAAAUUACAUUGAUGUGUCUUCUUCUUCUGUUAACUUUAUUUGAAGACACUCAGUACCAGUCUGUUGAUUAUGUUGUUUCAGUACCAACGCUACUCCCUUCAAACUUGCGCUCGAUAUAUUUACAAGAAGAUGAGAGGGGGUUUGUGGCAACUUGGGCUAUCAAUCAAUCACUCACCGACUUGCUCAAGUUGAUAAGAUGAUCGUAACACGAUGAUGCUUUGCCACGGAAGCUGAACUCAGGAAGACAGUUCUGUAUGAUUUCCAUGUCUCAAAUGGUGGCAAGAUGGUCCCAUUUGCUGGAUGGAGCUUGCCCAUUCAAUACAAGGACUCAAUCAAGGAAUCCACUUUGAAUUGUUGGGAAAACGGUAGCCUAUUUGAUGUCUCUCAUAUGCGUGGGCUAAGUCUCAAGGGGAAGGAUUGUAUCCCAUUUCUUGAGAAUCUUCAAUAUAUUUUUGACCUAUUAGGAUAUUUGGACGGCUUAAAUCUGUUUAAAUUACAAAACAACGGUUGUGAUG